AGGACGAACGCUGGCGGCGUGCUUAACACAUGCAAGUCGAGCGGAAAGGCCCUUCGGGGUACUCGAGCGGCGAACGGGUGAGUAACACGUGAGCAAUCUGCCCUUAGCUCUGGGAUAGCUCCGGGAAACCGGGAUUAAUACCGAAUAUGACUGCGGCUGACAUCAGCCACGGUGGAAAGUUUUUCGGCUAGGGAUGGACUCGCGGCCUAUCAGCUAGUUGGUGAGGUAACGGCCCACCAAGGCGACGACGGGUA
rnacentral:rRNA from 1 species